rnacentral:lncRNA from 1 species
GGUUCCCCACCCACCCGUGGCCUGGCCAGCAGCAACCUCCACUAGCUCGCUAGCUCAGUGACGGUGACGUCAGCCCUGCAGUGCAGGCUGGGCUGGUUUACCCGCAAGUUUCACCUCUCCCUGGGGAGACUGGAUUACCUCACCCUGGGAGCAGAGUGAAUGAUUAACCAGCUUCAUCCUGGAGGGCCUCAAAGGCCCGUCCUGGGGUGUAGGCCUACAGGGCAAGGGGCUGCAUGGUCACAUACCCUAGUAUGCGGGUUCACAUACCCCAGCCGGGGCUGGGGUAUGUGACCGCCCCGUCCUUGGCCACUGCCCUCUUAUCUGCAUCACUGCUCACAAGUGUCAUAAAAAUUUGUCUACAGCAUAUAUAAAUAUACAUAUGACGUGGAAGGCUUCCGAUGGCAAAUAACAUUUUCCAUUUUGCCUAAGCUUGGGUGGCUUUUUAUUCAUCUAUUGUUGUUUUAAGUACACAUUUCCAUCUAAACUUAGAUGUAUGUUUAGGCUGGCCGCGGUGGCUCAUUGCCUGUAAUCCCAGUACCUUUUAGGGGGUUGAGGCGGGUGGAUCAUUUGAGGCCAGCAGUUCAAGACCAG